AGAGGGUUGGUCCGACCGCCCUUUUCAUUCCCUACCGUUAGAUCUAGGGUUUCACCAUGGCCGAAGUCGAGUACCGGUGCUUCGUCGGCGGCCUCGCCUGGACUACUACCGACCGCUCCCUCGGGGACGCCUUCAGCAAGUUCGGCGAUGUCCUCGAGUGUAAGAUCAUCAACGAUCGGGAAACCGGGAGGUCUCGUGGGUUCGGAUUUGUGACGUUCUCCAACGAGCAGUCGAUGAGGGAUGCGAUCGAGGCGAUGCAUGGUCAGAACCUCGACGGGAGGAGUAUCACUGUCAAUGAGGCGCAGUCUCGCGGCGGGGGUGGCGGCGGCGGUGGAUCUCGGGGCAGCGGUGGCGGGGGUUAUGGCGGCGGCGGUGGCUCGUAUGGCGGCGGCGGUGGAUCCUAUGGCGGUGGUGGUGGACGGCGUGAUGGAGGCGGCGGCGGCGGGUAUGGUGGCGGUGGGGGCUAUGGCGGUGGUGGCGGUGAGGGAUAUGGAGGAGGUGGCGGGUAUGGCGGUGGCCGGCGUGAUGGAGGUGGUGGCGGUGGCUACAGCAGCCGUAGCGGCGGUGGUUCGUCUGACGGCAACUGGAGGAGCUGAUCAUGUUGCUGGUAUCUUUUUCUUAGGGCUUGAGCUGUUGGUUUGAAUUUGUCUUGCUUUGUUAAAUUAGUUGUGGUCUGCUGCUGAGUAUAGUCUCGUUAUGUCUCGAACGAGAACCUGGGAGAAUAUGGUGUGGUUUUUGACCUGGUGAAAUGAAACAAAUCUAGGUUGCGUGAAUUUUGAUUCGAU
rnacentral:misc_RNA from 1 species